GACCUGAUGAAUGUAUAAGCAUUAUGCAAACUUUAGGCGUAUUUUGCAUAAAACAUGUCUGGAUGAUGUUUUUGCUGUUUUUAGAUUGAAUGAGUGCUCUUGUGCCAUCGGUACAUAAGACAAGCAGUGGAAGUGAAACACCAUCAACUGCUCUGACUUCCUCAUUCAUCCUUAGACAAAUAGGGAAGGCACCAGACUGGGCAAGAGGCAGUAUGACCAAGAAGCUAAUAAAGCAUUAUGACGAUUCACUACCUCAUACAAAGACUGCAAAGAAAGGAGGGAACCAGGAUUUAAGCUAUGUCUGCUGGAAAGCAGCACCUUGUGAAUGUACCUGUGGUGAACAGUACUGGCUGUGUGUUCUGCUUCCGGAAAAGCAACAACCUCACCAGUGAUGUACAACACACACAACAUAAUGUCUUAACAAGCUGACUGCAGAUCCCUAUGUGCAAAGUAUAGACCCCUCAGUCUGAUCUGUGGAGGAUGAGGGUUCAUCAAGGAUGCUGACAGAUACAGUUUGGGCUUCAAACCGAUAUGCUCAGGAAGCAUGUGGGUCUCUUAUCUUCAACAAUGCAUGACUAUUUGCCUAAAUAAAUGAUAUAUUCACCACAAA